ACGCGCACAAAGGUCACGGGACGUCUGCAACUGAGACGCGGGGCGAUCCCUACGCUGUUCUUACCGACGGCAACAGCAGCAAGUGCAACAUCAUUGCUGCCAAGGGGAUCAAAACUGAAAAGGCUAGCAGCUGCGUCUAGCAGUGACAGCCCUGCUGGAGGCUCCAUUUCACAACCGGCAGAAGCGUGGCAAGGGCAAGCGGCUGCACAUGGAUCCUGCGAUGCUAGUCAAGGAGCUGGACCAGAUGUACGAAGCCUUUGUACCAUUCUG